AAACCAGCACCUCAAGUGGUCAGGAUGAUUAUUGGGCCUAAAGCAUCCGUAGCCGGCUCUGUAAGUUUUCGGUUAAAUCUGUACGCUUAACGUACAGGCUGCUGGGAAUACUGCAGAGCUAGGGAGUGGGAGAGGUAGACGGUACUCGGGAGGAAGUGGUAAAAUGCUUUGAUCUCUCGAUGACCACCUGUGGCGAAGGCGGUCUACCAGAACACGUCCGACGGUGAGGGAUGAAAGCUGGGGGAGCAAACCGGAUUAGAAACCCGUGUAGUCC
rnacentral:rRNA from 1 species